rnacentral:rRNA from 1 species
UGGGGAAUAUUGGACAAUGGGCGCAAGCCUGAUCCAGCCAUGCCGCGUGAGUGAUGAAGGCCCUAGGGUUGUAAAGCUCUUUCGCCAGGGACGCGGUACCUGGAUAAGAAGCCCCGGCUAACUUCGUGCCAGCAGCCGCGGUAAUACGAAGGGGGCUAGCGUUGUUCGGAAUCACUGGGCGUAAAGCGUAUGCAGGCGGAUCGUUAAGUGAGGGGUGAAAUCCCGAGGCUCAACCUCGGAACUGCCUUUCAUACUGACGAUCUUGAGUCCGGGAGAGGUGAGUGGAACUGCGAGUGUAGAGGUGAAAUUCGUAGAUAUUCGCAAGAACACCAGUGGCGAAGGCGGCUCACUGGCCCGGUACUGACGCUGAGAUACGAAAGCGUGGGGAGCAAACAGGAUUAGAUACCCUAGUAGU